rnacentral:lncRNA from 1 species
GACCAUUCCCCGCAAAAUGAAAAUUAAUAUCUUCGUUGGUAGAUCAUUUCAAAAAUGAAAGGGUGUAUCCCUUAAAAUAAAAUAUGUUUCAAUCCCGGCACAUAUUCAUGUGCCUGUCCCAAAUCAUGAACCUUGCCAUUUUUUGUGUGCUAUUUACUAGUAUUUAUGUGUUUAUCUUUUUUUAAAGAUUGCUUCCGCGCUUCAUACAAAAUGUACUUCGGUCAAGGCUUUAACACCCCAAUAAAGUUACAAAAGGAAGUAUUCAAUUCUUAAUUGCAAGGUAAACGAAAAUAUCAGACUAUUUAUGCAAUGAUAUACAAUUAUAUGAUGAACAUUUCAUUC